AUAACCGAAGCGAGAUAAAGAAACCUUCCCAGUGGAUCAUACUGGAGCCACGAAACGCAGCUGGCUUUGACGCCAAUGGGAUACGCACAGUCGUCUGGGCAUGUUAGCCAGUGUUCGCUAUCAACCGAAACGCCGGAGACCGUCAUACUGCGGGUAACACUCAGACGAGGUGCUGCAUGGCGGCUGCUGGGUUUGCGUGUCGCCUAUUCGCGCCAUGUGAGGUAUUUGCCAAGUUGCUGAGGCUGGACGGAACCGAAGUGGCUAUCGUUCCUAGAGCGUCAUGAAAGAAUGCCAGUGCUGUAAGCUGCUGUGUCUUCUGCUCACAGAUGUCGAAGGUUGCUGCCUUCUAUGGUGACCAAUGUGCCUCCUUCCACAGGCCCGUUGAGAGGGUGGAUCUAUGCGGGAGCCGAGAAGGACUGCUCUAUGAUGGCGAACAAGGGCUGGUCCGACGAGCCCCCUGGAGCUCCCCGACGACCGCCGGGUUCGUCCAGGCUC